AUGAUGGGAGCUAUAACACUAGGUGUGCUGAGCCUGCUGUGGAGGAGUACAGGCUGUUCUCUGACUCUUCUUGCGCUGCUGGGUUCUUUCCGUGAUCAAGAGCUGUAACACUAGCUGUACACGUUGCCGCAACAGCUUUACAGUGGAAACUGAAUAGAGUAAAGAGAAGGAUCAGGUUUGCUCCUGCCCACGUGGCUGCUUCUUGGGGAAGAGAGGACGACACUCCAGUUACUACCUCUUCUUCGAAGAGUUCUCUUCAAAACUUCAAGUGUUCCUGUUUAGGAAAUCCACAAAGUGUGGGUCUGCAGGACAAAGCCCAUGCCCCACCGGGGAGGAGCUUCCUGCCACCGCCUCAAGUCAAGAGAGGAACUUCUUCGAGGAGACCCAUCAAGGCCCUAGUAUGUGUGGUCUGAGAUUCAAAUCAGGAUGGGAGGGACGGGAGCAGGAGUGGAAAUUAUUGCACGAGUCGCUCCUUAGUUCAUUUACUGGGAUCCGAGCCUCGGAAAUAGGCCCAAGUCUCCUCUCCAUUGUUCCAGCAAGGGAAAUGAAGCCAAGAGAGUACUCAUCACAUCGCCAAGCACAUGGUAUAACCCAGUGAGCGUUUGUCGAAGAAAGGAACAAAGCAAAAUUCUACUAUCUAUGAUACAGGCAGCCUUGCGUGUUAUACUUUUUGGACAAAGACUUAACAUUUUAAUAAAACCGAUGUCACUUUCUAAGUACAUCUUGGUACGGAGGAAAGUAUGUGGAGUUUGGGGUCAAGAGACAUGUCAGAUUUUCAUCUCUGGUCCUUACUAGGUAAGAUCUUGGGCAGAUGACCUAACCACUCUGACAGUUUCCUCAUUGGUAAAUGAAACAAUAGGUCCCUGCGAGGAUUAUCACGAGGACUGGAUGAGGCUGCGUUUAUACUGAAUCCAUUGACGGUAGGCACUCAGCAAAUGUUAUUCUUGACUCUUAAUCUCUCUAUUAUGUUGCCGCCUAAAACUAAUUAAGUUACCACUUAAUUCUUUACAA